rnacentral:rRNA from 1 species
UACGUAGGGGGCUAGCGUUGUCCGGAAUCAUUGGGCGUAAAGCGCGUGUAGGCGGUCCGGUAAGUCCGCUGUGAAAGUCGGGGGCUCAACCCUCGAAUGCCGGUGGAUACUGUCGGGCUAGAGUGCGGAAGAGGCGAGUGGAAUUCCUGGUGUAGCGGUGAAAUGCGCAGAUAUCAGGAGGAACACCUAUUGCGAAGGCAGCUUGCUGGGACGUAACUGACGCUGAGACGCGAAAGCGUGGGGAGCAAACAGG